GGGCGUGUGGCUCAGUUGGUAGAGCGUUCGCUUAGCAUGCUUUCCUCGGUAUGCGAAAGGUCCUGGGUUCGAUUCCCAGCUCGUCCA